CUUCUGGGAUAUCGUUUUCUUCUGUGCAACCUCCUCUUCUGGAUUAGGAACAAUCUGCUCUCCUUGCCACACUGAGAU